AUAAAUCAUUCUAUAGUAUAGAAUUAGUAAAGUUAAUGAUUUUUAUAUUUAGUUUUUAGUAUAUUUAUCAAUAGAUUAUAUAGUAUAAUGGUUAAGUGGAAUGAUGAUGAUGUGUGUUUGGAAAAGUUAGACAAAAAUCUAGUGAAAUCCAAUUAUGGGCUGAAAAAAGAAACUCUGAAUAUGCUAUCUGUAAACUAUGCAAAAGUGAUUUAAAAUUCAGUUCAGUUGGUUUCCAAGCACUAUAUCAGCAUUCUUUAAAACCUAAACAUAAUUCAGUGUCUGAUCUAAGAUUUUCAAAAACUGCUCGUCAUUUAUAUGUAGAUUCUAACAAAAACUCUAUUGGGGGAGAAAAAAGUUAUACAAUUGGAGUUCUCUAUAAAUGAAAAAAUUUCUGCUGCAGAAGCCAUGUGGCUUUUUAAAGUGGCAGAGAAUGAUCUUGUCUUAAGACAUUGUGACAACACACCAAUAUUGUUCCAAAUAAUGUUUCCAGAUAGUAAAAUAAGUCAAGGUUUUAUAUGAGUCGGCAAAUAGCUUCAUAUAUUUUGCAAGAUGGCCUUGGGCCAUUAUUGGAAAAGCGUUUAUGUGAUAGUAUCACGUUAAGUCAAGGUGCAUUCACUUUAAUGUUUGAUGAAACAACUACUUCACAACAAAGAAAACAAGUAGAUCUUUUAUGUCGUUUUUGGUAAGAAGACGAAAACCAAGUUGUUACAAAAUAUUUAACAUCGCUGUUCUUUGGCAGAGCAACAACAGAAGAUGUCAAAACAAUGCUAGCAGAUUUACGUCAUAAUGAAAGGUUUUAUUUACCAUGGGAUCAUCUUUUUAAUAUUUCAGCAGAUGGUCCUAAUAUUACCAAAGCCAUUUCUUCAUAGUAAUGGUUUUAAUGGCUUGUUACCAUUUGUAAGUUGCACUUUGCACACAGUGCAUAAUGCUUUUCGAAAAGCAAUUAAUGUUGUUGGUAAAGAUGCUGAGCAGCUUGCAUUUGAUUUACAUACCUGGUUUAAGAAUGCACCCUGUAAAAUAGAAGAUUUAAAAAAAUUAUCAGAUUGCAUUUUUAUUGACAAUGAAACAUUGUUUCUUCGUUUUAUCAAUACUAGAUGGCUUACUCUUUCUUCUUCACUUAUAAAGGUUCUAUUAAGGUGGGAAGACACCAAGAAAUAUUUUUUGGAAUAUGUUCCAAAAUAAAAGGAGUAUAAAAGACACUGACAAACAACAAGCGUUAUAUUUGGAUUCAAAGAAGUCUUAAGGAAACUGAAAAUGAGUUACUUGUGUCCAUCAAAUUCCUUAUUGGUUUAGCUCCCUUGUUUGAGAAAUACUUGACAAAAUUUCAAGAUGAAGGACCACUUG